UUUCUAGUAUCAGGUUUCUCA
rnacentral:siRNA from 1 species